rnacentral:rRNA from 1 species
UACGUAGGGGGCAAGCGUUGUCCGGAUUUAUUGGGCGUAAAGAGCGUGUAGGCGGUCAGGUAGGUCCGUUGUGAAAACUCGAGGCUCAACCUCGAGACGCCGAUGGAAACCAUCUGACUAGAGUCCGGAAGAGGAGAGUGGAAUUCCUGGUGUAGCGGUGAAAUGCGCAGAUAGUCAGGAAGAACACCCGUGGCUAAGGCGGCUCUCUAGUACGGUACUGACGCUGAGACGCGAAAGCGUGGGGAGCGAACAGG